rnacentral:rRNA from 1 species
UACGGAGGGUGCAAACGUUGCUCGGAAUCAUUGGGCGUAAAGCGCACGUAGGUGGCUUGUUAAGUCGGGUGUGAAAUCCCUGGGCUCAACCCAGGAAGUGCACUCGAAACUGGCGAGCUUGAGUACUGAAGAGGGUCGCGGAAUUCCCGGUGUAGAGGUGAAAUUCGUAGAUAUCGGGAGGAACACCCGUGGCGAAGGCGGCUCUCUGGGACGGUACUGACGCUGAGACGCGAAAGCGUGGGGAGCGAACAGG